UUCAGUGUGGCAGAUUAGUGCAAUGAAUUUAAGACUCAUAUAUAAAUAUGUUUAUUUCACUGAAA
rnacentral:tRNA from 1 species